rnacentral:rRNA from 1 species
GACGAACGCUGGCGGCGUGCUUAACACAUGCAAGUCGAACGGAAAGGCCCUGCUUUUGUGGGGUGCUCGAGUGGCGAACGGGUGAGUAACACGUGAGUAACCUGCCCUUGACUUUGGGAUAACUUCAGGAAACUGGGGCUAAUACCGGAUAGGAGCUCCUGCUGCAUGGUGGGGGUUGGAAAGUUUCGGCGGUUGGGGAUGGACUCGCGGCUUAUCAGCUUGUUGGUGGGGUAGUGGCUUACCAAGGCUUUGACGGGUAGCCGGCCUGAGAGGGUGACCGGCCACAGUGGGACUGAGAUACGGCCCAGACUCCUACGGGGUGCAGCAGUGGGGAAUCUUGCACAAUGGGCGGAAGCCGGAUGCAGCAACGCCGCGUGCGGGAUGACGGCCUUCGGGUGGUAAACCGCUUUCGCCUGUGACGAAGCGUGAGUGACGGUAAUGGGUAAAGAAGCACCGGCUAACUACGUG